CUUCAACAUGUCUGAGGGAGCUCAGGAGUCAGCCCACAUUGGUGAUACUGGAUAGCUUGCGGCUUGGGUUACACUGGAACAGGAGAACUUGACUCAAGGAACCGCCAGUCUCUUCAGGGAUCUUCUCUCCGGUGGCACCCUUCCGCCCGCCCCAUCUAUUGGAACAGAGGACGGCCUGAAUUUCCUCCAACCUGCAGAGUGGACUUGGAAUGAGAUGCUGUCCUAAAUUUAACAUCAAAAAAACAAGGCUCGGG
rnacentral:lncRNA from 1 species